UUAAUGAAUUACUGAAAUUGUUUGAGAAUUAAAUUUCCAAAUUACGAUAGCAACAAAAUGAUGUAGUAGUAGUAGUGUUGUCGUCAAUAAAUUCAAAGAGUAACCAUUUAUGGGCAAAAGAAGAAAACAGAGUUACUCAAACAAGCGGGAAUAAUCUCUCUCCCUCAAUUCCCCCAAUGCUACAUGACUUUCAGAGCAGCGCCUGCAAUUUCUUGAGGUAAUAGCACAUUGAGUAACAAAAUGAGUACUAGUAGUAAAGAAUCAAUGGAUUUAGGUAGAAGAGGCGCCGCCCCAAAACAAGGCUCUGUUUGGGAGAGCAGAAUGAAGCUCGAUAAAGUCAAAGGCGGCAUCAAAGUUUUCAAGGCCGCUGAUCAAAAUCCCGAGCAAAACACUCAAAAUGAUGUUACAACAGAGACCAACUCUGAGAUUGAGAUUUGCAGGGAUGCGAAGCCCAAACAGAGCCCUAGCGGGAAGAGGAAAACAUGGAAAUCCGAAAGUUCUGAUGGGGGUCCGGUUAAGAUUGCGGCUCUGAGAUCUGAAUUGAGCAGGAAUUUCGAUGAACAGAUGAGCGAAUCGGCGAAGAAAAGCCCCGUUUCGAUCAGGAAUUCGAGUGUGAGAAAGGCGAAAUCCAAUUCCGUUGUUGAUGCUGAUGCUGAGAGAGAGAGGAAGUCGAGAUCUGACGAGGAUUGUGAGGAGAACAAGGCUGCUAUUACGAGCUUUGUGCCCCAAAUCAAUGGCGGAGGUGAAUCAGAUUUAAAUGAAGAUAAGGAAAUCGAAGUUGAAAACAAGAGCGUUGAUGUUGAAGAGAUUGGUGUCGGUGAUCACAAGCACAAGACAAAUGUGAUUGUGGAUAAGAAAUCGGUCCAGAGAAAUCCAAAACCAGUGCCCGUUUCAUCAUCAAUUGCCAGAAAUCAGCCUCCUCCUGCUGCAAAUCGUGCUAGAUUCAAUCCAAUCCCAGCAAAGAUCAACAAUAGCUCAGAAAAUUUUCCAAGAGCAAGCAGCAAACUACAAAGUUUUGUCGACCUUGUAAUGUGGAGAGACGUAUCAAAAUCAGCAUUUGUUUUUGGGAUUGGAACAUUUGCUAUCAUAUCAUCUUCAUUCACAAAGGAUCUCAACAUCAGCUUCAUUUCUUUGCUUUCCUACUUGGGACUUGUGUACCUUGCUGCAAAUUUCCUCUUUAGAAUCCUUAUUAGCAGAGGAUCAGUGGAGAAUGAGACUGCAAAUCAAGAUUGUGUUAUUGGUGAAGAAGAAGCAAUUUGGGUGACAAAAAUGCUUCUUCCAUUUAUAAAUGAGUUUCUUCUCAAUCUGAGAGCCCUUUUCUCGGGCGACCCUUCCACCACGAUGAAGUUGGCAGUGCUGCUGUUCAUUUUGGCAAGGUGUGGAAGCUCCUUUACUAUCUGGACAACCGCCAAGGUUUUAUUGGAGUAUUUACAGUGCCUAAAAUCUGCUCACCAUACUCCUCUCAGAUUACUGCAUACGGUACAAUGUGGAUGAAACGAUUUGGAGAAGCAUGGAGGUCAUGUAGUCACAAAAAAGCAGUAGGAUUUGGCGUCUUGGCUCUUGGCUGGAAUUUGUCAUCCGUGGUUUACCGUAUUUGGGCAGUGUUCAUGUUAUUUGUGGCGUUCAAGCAUUAUCAGCAGCAGUCGUUCAUUGCGGAGGGGUGGGCCCACCACGAAGCCAUCAACGGUCACCAUUCUUCUUCCCAAGCUCCUACAACUACACUUCAAAAUAGAGGCAAACUAAAGAAAGAGUGUUGAGAUAUUCAAUUAAUUUUUUUUAGUAUAAAUUUCUGGCAUUGCGUUUCA